rnacentral:tRNA from 1 species
GCCCUGAUGGUCUAGCGGUAUGAUUCUCCCUUAGGGUUUUUACAAAUCUUCACCUGGGAGAGGUCCCAGGUUCGAUCCCUGGUUAGGGCC